UUUUGAGAGUUUGAUCCUGGCUCAGGAUGAACGCUGGCGGCGUGGCUAAGGCAUGCAAGUCGUAAGCUAGUAGCAAUACUGGCUUGGCAAACGGGAGCGGAACACAUUGGUAAUCUGCCCCGAGGACGAGAAUAAUCCUGCGAAAGUGGGAAUAAUGCUCGAUAAUAGUGAGGGGACAAAAGUCAUUCUCACUUAAAGCAGCAAUGCACCUCGGGAGGAACCUAUGUCCUAUCAGCUAGUUGGUGAGGUAAUGGCCCACCAAGGCUAUGACGGGUACCGGGUGUGAGAGCAUGACCCGGCUCACUGGGACUGAGACACUGCCCAGACUCCUACGGGAGGCUGCAGUCACGAAUCUUCCUCAAUGGCCGAAAGGCUGAAGGAGCGACGCCGCGUGUAUGAAGAAGCCCUUCGGGGUGUAAAGUGCUUUUAUCUGGGAAGAAUCCAUGACGGUACCAGAUGAAUAAGGAGCUGCUAACCUCGUGCCAGCAGCAGCGGUAAUACGAGGGCUCCAAGCGUUAUCCGGAUUUAUUGGGCGUAAAGGGUCUGUAGGCGGUUUUUCGCAUCUCCUGUUAAAGCCCGAGGCUUAACCUCGGAACAGCGGGAGAGAUGGAUAAACUAGAGGCCGGUAGAGGCGAGCGGAAUUGCUGGUGUAGGGGUUAAAUCCGUUAAUAUCAGCAAGAACACCAGAUGCGAAGGCAGCUCGCUGGAACGGUCCUGACGCUAAAAGACGAAAGCGUGGGUAGCGAAUGGGAUUAGAUACCCCAGUAGUCCACGCCGUAAACGAUGGAUGCUAAGCAUUGGCAGUAUCGACCCUGCCAGUGCUGUUUAAUUAAGCUAACGCCUUAAGCAUCCCGCCUGGGGAGUACGGUCGCAAGACUAAAACUCAAAGGAAUAGACGGGGACCCGCACAAGCGGUGGAGCAUGUGGUUUAAUUCGACGAUAAGCGAGGAACCUCACCAAGGUUUGACAUCUAGCUGCAGACUCCUGGAAACAGGAGAGCCUUCGAGGGUGCUAGACAGGUGCUGCAUGGUUGUCGUCAGCUCGUGUCGUGAGAUGUACCGUUAAGUCGGGAAACGAGCGCAACCCCUAUCCUAUGUUUCAAGUGUCAUAGGAAACUGCCCGCUUUAAGUGGGAGGAAGGUGGGGAUGACGUCAAAUCAGCAUGGUCCUUACACCUUGGGCGACACACGUGCUACAAUGGAAAGCACAGAGGGACGCCAAGUGGUAACACGGAGCAAAUCCCUAAAACUUUUCUCAGUUCGGAUUGAGGUCUGCAACUCGACCUCAUGAAGCUGGAAUCGCUAGUAAACGCGUAUCAGCCAUGACGCGUUGAAUACGUUCUCGGGUCUUGUACUCACCG
rnacentral:rRNA from 1 species